rnacentral:rRNA from 1 species
CCUACGGGGAGCUGCAGUGGGGAAUAUUGGGCAAUGGGCGCAAGCCUGACCCAGCAACGCCGCGUGAAGGAAGAAGGCUUUCGGGUUGUAAACUUCUUUUCUCAGGGACGAAGAAAGUGACGGUACCUGAGGAAUAAGCCACGGCUAACUACGUGCCAGCAGCCGCGGUAAUACGUAGGUGGCAAGCGUUAUCCGGAUUUACUGGGUGUAAAGGGCGUGUAGGCGGGAAAGCAAGUCAGAUGUGAAAACCAUGGGCUCAACCUGUGGCCUGCAUUUGAAACUGUUUUUCUUGAGUACUGGGGAGGCAGACGGAAUUCCUAGUGUAGCGGUGAAAUGCGUAGAUAUUAGGAGGAACACCAGUGGCGAAGGCGGUCUGCUGGACAGCAACUGACGCUGAGGCGCGAAAGCGUGGGGAGCAAACAGGAUUAGAUACCCGUGUAGUC